CUGGAGGUAGAGCACUGAAUGAGGUAGGGGCUGACAACAGUUACUGAACUCUAUCAAACUCCGAAUGCCAG
rnacentral:ncRNA from 1 species